rnacentral:rRNA from 1 species
UGGGGAAUAUUGGACAAUGGGCGAAAGCCUGAUCCAGCCAUGCCGCGUGUGUGAAGAAGGUCUUCGGAUUGUAAAGCACUUUAAGUUGGGAGGAAGGGUUGUAGAUUAAUACUCUGCAAUUUUGACGUUACCGACAGAAUAAGCACCGGCUAACUCUGUGCCAGCAGCCGCGGUAAUACAGAGGGUGCAAGCGUUAAUCGGAAUUACUGGGCGUAAAGCGCGCGUAGGUGGUUUGUUAAGUUGGAUGUGAAAGCCCCGGGCUCAACCUGGGAACUGCAUCCAAAACUGGCAAGCUAGAGUACGGUAGAGGGUGGUGGAAUUUCCUGUGUAGCGGUGAAAUGCGUAGAUAUAGGAAGGAACACCAGUGGCGAAGGCGACCACCUGGACUGAUACUGACACUGAGGUGCGAAAGCGUGGGGAGCAAAACAGGAUUAGAUACCCUGGUAGUCCACGCCGUAAAACGUGCCAACUAGCCGUUGGAAUCCUUGAGAUUUUAGUGGCGCAGCUAACGCAUUAAGUUGACCGCCUGGGGAGUACGGCCGCAAGGUUAAAACUCAAAUGAAUUGACGGGGUCAUAGCUGUUUCCUG